rnacentral:rRNA from 1 species
AGAGUUUGAUCCUGGCUCAGAGUGAACGCUGGCGGCGUGCCUAACACAUGCAAGUCGAACGAUGAUGGAGGAGCUUGCUCUUCCUGAUUAGUGGCGCACGGGUGAGUAACGCAUAGGUAAUGUGCCCCUUAGUUCGGGAUAGCCACUGGAAACGGUGAUUAAUACCGGAUACUCCUUCUCAUUAUAAGAUGAGUCGGGAAAGUUUUUCGCUAAGGGAUCAGCGUAUGUCCUAUCAGCUAGUUGGUGAGGUAAUGGCUCACCAAGGCAAUGACGGGUAUCUGGUUUGAGAGGAUGAUCAGACACACUGGAACUGAGACACGGUCCAGACUCCUACGGGAGGCAGCAGUGAGGAAUAUUGCACAAUGGAGGAAACUAUGAUGCAGCAACGCCGCGUGGAGGAUGACGCAUUUCGGUGUGUAAACUCCUUUUAAGAGGGAAGAUUAUGACGGUACCUCUUGAAUAAGCACCGGCUGACUCCGUGCCAGCAGCCGCGGUA